ensembl:lncRNA
UAGGCAUUCGGUUCAACAGUGUGGUUAGGCAUUAGGUUCAACAGUGUGUUAGGCAUUAGGUUCAACAGUGUGGUUAGGGUUAGGCAUUCGGUUCAACAGUGUGUUAGGCAUUAGGUUCAACAGUGUGUUAGGCAUUAGGUUCAACAGUGUGUUAGGCAUUAGGUUCAACAGUGUGUUAGGCAUUAGGUUCAACAGUGUGUUAGGCAUUAGGUUCAACAGUGUGGUUAGGCAUUAGGUUCAACAGUGUGUUAGGCAUUAGGUUCAACAGUGUAGUUAGGCAUUAGGUUCAACAGUGGUUAGGGUUAGGCAUUCGGUUCAACAGUGUGUUAGGCAUUAGGUUCAACAGUG